CCGGCUUACAGUUUCAUUCCGUGACUAGCCCUCCCCCACCUGCCCAGCAAUUUACUCUUAAAAAGGUGGCUGGAGCUAAAGGCAUAGUCAAGGUUAAUGCUCCUUUUUCUUUAUCCCAAAUCAGAUAGCGUUUAGGCUCUUUUUCAUCAAAUAUAAAAAACCCAGCCCAGUUCAUGGCUCGUUCGGCAGCAACCCUGAGAUGCUUUACAGCCCUAGACCUAAAAGGUCAAAAGGCUGUAUUAUUCUCAAUAUACAUUUUAUUACUCAAUCUGCUCCCGACAUUAAAUAAAACUCCAAAAAUUAAAUUCCAGCCCUCAAACCCCACAACAGGAUUUAAUUAACCUCACCUUCAAGGUGUACAAUAAUAGAAAAAAGUCGCAAUUCCUUGCCUUUACUGUGAGACAAACCCCAGCCACAUCUCCAGCCCACAAGAACUUCCAAACGCCUAAACCGCAGUGGCCAGGCGUUCCUCCAGAACCUCCUCCCCCAGGAACUUGCUACAAGUGCCAGAAAUCUGACCACCAGGCCGAGGAAUGCCUGCAGCCCAGGAUUCCUCCUAAGCCGUGUCCCAUCUGCGCGGGACCCCACUGGAAAUCGGACUGUUCAACUCACCUGGCAGCCACUCCCAGAACCCCUGGAAUUCUGGCCCAAGGCUCUCUGACUGACUCCUUCUCGGCUUAGCAGCUGAAGACUGAUGCUGCCUGAUCGCCUUGGAAGCCCCGUAGACCAUCGCGGAUGCCGAGCUUUAAGUAAUCUCACAGUGGAGGACAGGAAUGUCAGCCCUCUGGGCCCAAGCUAAGCCAUCAUAUCCCCUGUGACCUGCACGUACACAUCCAGAUGGCUGGUUGCUGCCUUAACUGAUGACAAUCCACCACAAAAGAAGUGAAAAUGGCCCGUUCCUGCCUUAACUGAUGACAUUGUCUUGUGAAAUUCCUUCUCCUGGCUCAUCCUGGCUCAAAAGCUCCCCCACUGAGCACCUUGUGACCCCCACUCCUGCCUGCCAGAGAACAACCCCCUUUGACUGUAAUUUUCCUUUAUCUACCCAAAUCUUAUAAAAUGGCCCCACCCCUAUCUCUCUUCACUGACUCUCUUUUUGGACUCAGCCUGCCUGCACCCAAGUGAUUAAAAGCUUUAUUGCUCACACAAAGCCUGUUUGGUGGUCUCUUUACACGGACGUGCAUGAAAGUGGCCGGGCACAGUGGCUCAGGCCUGUAAUCCCAG
rnacentral:lncRNA from 1 species